GAGAGCGAGAACGCGAGGAAAAAGGGCGAGAAUACGAGGAUCUCGCCUCGAGAACACGAGAUUACUUUCACCUCGACUUCUCGUCUUCUCGUCCCUCGACUUCUCGCUCCCUCGUGUUCUCGCCUUUGAAAAACCUCGUGUUCUCGCGCCCUCGACUUCUCGCUCCCUCGCCCUCGACUUCUCGCUCCCUCGCGUUCUCGCCCUCGACUUCUCGCCCUCGACUUCUCGCUCCCUCGUGUUCUCGCCUUUGAAAAACCUCGACUUCUCGCUCCCUCGCUCCCUCGCCUUUGGGUCAAUCUCGUCCUCUCGUGUUCUCGCUCCCUCGCUUCGUCACAAUCUCGACUUCUCGUCCUCUCGUGUUCUCGCCUCGGAAGUGCAGUUUAUAACGCAUGUCCACUGACUACCGUAUCGGCAUUUGUAUUCAGUCUGGUAUUUUCAUUCAAAGUCAAAGCCGAUGGAAGCUCUAGCGAUCAACAAAAUUCUCAAUGAUUUGGGCUUAAUCCAUCUCUUAGAUGUAUUUACUGACAAUUCCUAGCUGUUGAUCUGUCAGUGACCAGGGUUUAAGCCACCUGUGCAGAUGUCAUCAAGGUCACUUUAAGAUGUAAACAGCGUUAAUUAUAAUUAGGCUUUUAAUUAGGGCAUGUGAUUGUUGUGGAGGAUUUGUGGGGUUAGGGCUAGUAGCACUAGUUCCCUAGCAUCUCAUGUUGAAAAACUAUGAUAAAUAUGGCCCAUGAUGCUUGAUCACCUUUGAAAAGUUGUGUUGAUGCUCAAGAUCUAGAGGUUAAAGUUAAUAUCGAAUUGACUCUAAAUUUACACACAGUUUAAAGGUCAUGAGAUGAAGAAUCCUAUUGAUUUUCAACAUUUUCCAAUAGUUACUGCCAGAGUUAUGGCCCUUGAUCUCUUUAAGAUAUCUUGUUGACGCUGUAUAGACAAUAUUUAUAAACUUAAUAUCAAUUGACUUUUAAAUUUAAAAUAGCAUUAUGCAAGAGAAAAAUCUGCUUAUUACAGGUCUUUCUUUAGGCCUGAAAUGUUAUCUAAAUAAUCAAUUAGACAUUAAUUAACAUAUCCAGACCAUAAUAAACUCUUUAUGUCAAGGCUAGCCUUCGAUGUUGGCGGAUUAAAUUCCUAUAUGCAGCUUAAUGGCCGUUGAUAAUUAAAUCAAUCAAGUGGAUAAUCGAGACUAUACUGUUUAUAUUAAUGAUUUGAGUAAUGAUGACCAAGGCUAUGUGAAUAUUGGAAACGCUUUUUUCUCGGCUAAUAGUUGAUCAAUUUGACUGAAAUUUUCAGCAAAUUACCUUUACACUAUCUAGUUUUUAACUAUUAUAGUGAGAACUGCCAUCUCUUUAUCUUAUCUCCCAUUAUGUAACUUUAAAGAGUGUUUUAGGCCACAAGACACAUUAGCCUAUUUCCAAUAAUUACUGCUAGAGUUAUGGCCCUUUAUCGCUUCAAAAUAUCUGGUUGACAUUCUAGACGCUAAAGUUAAUAAACAUCUGAUUGAUUUUAGAUUUAUAUGCACUGUUUAAAUUCACGAGACACAGAAGAUUAUUGAUUUCAACAAUUACUGCCAUACUGUAGCGCGUGACCUCUUUCAAAAAUUUUGUAGACUCUUGUGGCUAAAGUUAAUAUCUGAUUGACUUUAAAUAGAGAUUACUAUCAUGAGACAAAGAAUCCUAUUCAUUUUCAAAGAUUUCUGAUAAUUACUGCCAGAUUUAAGGUGGAGUGUGGACGCUCUAGAGGCCAAAAAUCAAUUCAUGCAUUCAUUCACUCUAAAGGCCAAAGUUGAUAUAAAUUGUUUAAAUCAAAACAAUUGGUUUCUGAUGAUUUAUACAUCAUGGGUUAUUACUUGUAAUCAGAUUUUCAUGUGUUGUAAAUGUUCUCAUUACUGACUAAAGAAAAAAUAUGCUUUGGGCGUAUGGUGUAUGUUUUGUUGCCUGGCAAGAGUGGCAACCUAUCUUCUAUUUUUUUUACAAAGGUUUUGUUAAAGUUAAAGUUCAUUGGAAUUUUCCCGUCUGGUUCGUAGUUCCCCCUGUCAGUGAUGUAGGAUGGAGGGACAAUGCAUAGCGGUAGUCGUUCAGAUGGGAUGAAAAACAGGGAUCUGUAUAUACAUUGGUGUGCACGGAAAUGAUCCCUUGACAGUUGGAAUUUUGUAAUAACAUACUGCAUGUCAAGCCCAUCUUCAUUUUGCCCGGUCGGAGCAAGACUGUAGGAUGUUAAACCCCAAUUUAUUUUAUUUCAUUAUAAUCCGUAUGUGUGGGCGUAUGUUUCGUUGCCUGGCAACCUAUUUUUUGAUUUAAAAAGUUUAUCACCAUUACACCCUAAUGAUGUUUGAAUUUUGUGAAAAUCGGACCAAAACUGUCAGACAAAAUGGCCGCUCUUUGUCUGCAAAUUGUGUAUAUAAGUAAUACAAAGGUUAUGGAUACCCUCUAGGGGUCACAAUUUUGAUCCGAUUUUAAUUAAGCUUAGACCAUAUCUUCAUAUAUUAAAAAAAUCUUAGUCCCUUUUGAUAUUUGUGUAUUUCAGAGCGUUACUUUUUGGAUUAUGACCCCUGAUUGUACCAAAAUUUUUUGUUUUUUUUAGCUUAUUCUCUUUUCAUCCCUUGCAAAAUGUGGGAGUUUCCUGCCUGGCAGCUGCUGAUUAUCAGAUUUUAACGAAACUUAAAAUAUAUCUUUAUAUCACAAAGAUGUCAGUCCCUUUUGAUAUUUGCGCAAUUCAGAUCAUAACUUUCUGGAUUAUAGCCCCUGAUCGCAUGGAAAAUCACUUUUGUUCCAGCUUGUUCUCUAACCAUCUCUUGCAAAAUGUGGGCAUAUCGUGUCUAGCAGCCGCUGGUUUUCUUAAUUAAUAUAUGUUUAUUUAACAGGUUGGGCCUCCAGAAGUUCUAACAUUAACCGAUUCAGAAUUUAAUUUCCUUGGUGUGAGUGCUAUUGGGGACCGUGCUAGGUUGAGACAGAGAUGUAGAACAUAUUUGAAUGGUCAGUGUGAAUCGCCAUCUUUAAAGAAAUUCAAAGAGCUAUCAGAAAAGAAAAAAACACAGAAUAACAACAAGUUCAAGUCCAAUCGUAGAUUAUAUACUGGGUGGAAGUUAUCUACAGGACAGAGUUUUAAACUAGUUCCACUAUCUCAAGGAGGGGGAUCUAUAAUUAUGGAUCUUCCCAAAGAGUAUUCUCUUCCAGACCUUCAAAAAAAAAUGAUUGCAACUUUCUUCCCAGAUGGUCAAGCAGUCCAUAAAAACAUAAAACUUUCACAUUGUGAAACAUUCAUCGGAAAUUUUGCUGGUGAACGUGUGCCAUCAAGACUGUUGAAUGGUGAUCUUUUUUCCCUUGAUGGAUAUUUUUCUGAGAUAAAAUCUAAUCCUGUGAGAUUAUAUUUGUAUGCAAAAACCACAACGGUUAAUCAACCACCAUCACCAUCAACUUCAACUACCACAUUAAAUCAACAAACUUCAGCUACAUUAAAUCAACCACCAUCUCCAUCAACUUCAUCUACCACAUUAAAUCAACAACCUUCAGCUACAUGUACUCAACCACCAUCAUCAUCAACUUCAUCUACCACAUUAAAUCAACAAACUUCAGCCACAUGUACUCAACCACCAUCAUCAUCAACUUCAUCUACCACAUUAAAUCAACAAACUUCAGCUACUUGUACUCAACCACAACUAGCAAUUAAUGCUGUAAAUUAUGCAACAAAUAUCAUCAAUGAUGACACAGAUGAUGAACUACCGGAUAUCUCAUUUUAUUCAGGAACACCAACUAUAACCUUCAAGAAAAGUAAAAAAGCUGAGAGCUUGGAAGAGAUUCUAGUUCGCUUGAAUAGUCAGAUAAAAAAUGAGAAAAACAUCAUCAAUGUAAGCCGAGGUGAUGUUUUGUCUGGAACAAGGAGAGCGUUUUCCAGAAAAACCUUCAGGCCCGAAUUCGGUUUAAGCGUCAAAUUUUCAGGGGAAAAUGGUAUCGAUAAUAUCCAGAGAACUUUUACAACUUCUAAUGAGCUCUAUAAAAGAUUCACAAGUGUUUCAAGGGUCAGAGUGUAAAAUGCUCUGUCCUGAUAUCCCCAGUGAAGAAAGAGAUGAUUACAGACUGUUUGGAAAAAUCAUAUCAUAUUCAGUAAUUCACCGUGGUCCAGUGCCAAGAUUCUUUUCUGGAAUCCUUUAUGAUCUGAUAGCUUUUGGCUCUUGUGAACCAAAAUUGGAUGACAUAGUAGAUUAUCAAAUCAGAGAACAAAUUAAAGAGUUGUCAAGGCAGAUGAUGUAAUAAUGUUACAAGAGGCUGCUCAGCCUCUUAUUGGCCAUAUAGACUUUUUAGGAGCUAUACCUCUUAUAUUCGAUGUAAAAAAUAAAGAAAGUCUAGUCACAUUAUUAACACGGUAUUUUGUUGUGGACAGGGUAAAAGGAGUACUGAAUCAGUUCUGUGAAGGGAUGGAUUCUUUAGGUUUGAGAAAGGAAAUAAUUAAAAAUCCAGAAGUCAUGAGAGAACUUUUUGUUUUCUCGUAUGAAAAAUUGUUGUCCAUUAAUAUUGAUCACCUGUUUACUCCGGUUUUUAGCGAAAACAGCUUUUCGCUUGAACAGGAAUUAAACAGCCAUGCUCAUUGGAGAGAUUUUCUUCUGGAUCUUGAAGAAACAGAUGAACUGGGUAGUUUGUUAUCUUUUGUGACUGGUUUAAAGGACAUACCUCCACUGGGAUUCAACCCACCACUAAAGCUACUGUUUAGACACCCAUCUUUUGAAUGGGACAUUGCCCCGUUUGCAAAUACUUGUGCUAAUACCCUUAACAUUCCAGUGUUAAAAGAUUAUGAUGCAUUCAAAACUGCAAUGGCCAUGUCUUUAAGAAUUGGCAAUAUUUUUACUGACGCUUAAAAUAUUAACUUGCCUUUUUCUGUUUUACCCAGUCAGUUUGAAAGUUUUUAAGAUAGUUAUAUUUAAAAACACUUUUUGGUCAUACAACGUAGUCUGUUUUAUCCAAUCAAUUUGAUAGUUUUUAAGAUAGUUAAUUUAAAAUUGCCCUUUUUGUGAUACAACUUAAAUCUGUUUUAUCCAAUCAGUUUGAUAGUUCUUAAGAUAGUUAUAUUUAAAAACGCUUUUUUGUGAUACAACUUAGUCUGUUUUAUCCAAUCAAUUUGAUAAUUUUUAAGAUAGUUAUAUUUAAAAACACUUUUUUGUGAUACAACUUAGUCUGUUUUAUCCAAUCAAUUUGAUAGUUUUUAAGAUAGUUAAAUUUAAAGUAUUGCUUAUGUUUGUUUGUGUAAUAAUUUCUUAUUUACCUUUGGGGGUAACCCGUUUUAAAUUUAUUUCUUUGUGAUAUAUUUUAUGUUCUUUGAUUCAGUUUUUAUUUAUUUCUGUGUAAAGCUGCAACAAUCUAAGAAAAUAUGCAAUGUAUAAAUUUUGCAUUAUCAAUUUUUGCAGUCUGAGUUAUUUAUAAUUUUUAACAUAAAAUUUUAUGUUAAAAGAUGUAUAGUAGUAAUGAAGCAGUAUUUUUUACACCUGCAAACAGAUAAAGUCCGACAAAUAUUACCUUUAUAUUUUUUUAUCGUUUACCUAUUAAAUAUGCUCUUUGUAACUUAAUUUCUUUGUUGUCAGAAUUGCAGUACCGGUAUCAGUAAAACACAAACUACUUCCCUUUGCAAGACUUUUUGUACCAAAUCCUAUGCCUGAACAUUUUGUACAUGUAAAUUUCCUACAAGAAACUGGUUUUCUAUUAUUUGAAAAGGAGAAUUAAAUUGUUUUAAUUUCAUAGGGAAUUUCUUAUUUGACAAUGGGUAGAAAUAAUGAUUAAUAUACAGGCUUUUGCAUAUAAAGUUAAUUUGAAUGUCUUCAUUGCAAUCACAACUAACCUUUUUAAGAUUAAAAUUCUUACAUUAAUUUUUAUACUCCCACAUUGAAAUGUGGUUGUAAAUUUUGUCGUUACCUUGGUUAGCUCUGUUAAUAUCUGAUUGACUUAAGAUUUAUACACAGUGUUUAAGGUCAUCAGACUGAUUUUCAACCAUUUCUAAUAUUUACUGCCACAGUCAUGGCCUUUAAUCACUUUGAAAAACAUUGCAGAUGCUCUUGAGGCUAAAGUCAAUAUCCGAUUCACAUUAAAUUUAUUAAGUGUUUAAGGUCAUGAAUGAUUUUCGAUGUUUACUGCCACAGUCAUGGCCUAUGAUUACUUUGAAAAUUCUUGUGGAUGCUCUAGUGGCUAAAGUUAAUAUCCAAUUGACUUUAAAUUUAUACACAGUGUUUAAGGUCAUCAGUUAAAGAUGCAUCAACAGAACACAAUUUUUAUGGGAAACAAUCACCGGUUUUAUUCUAAAAGCACCACGUUUCGAUAAGAGGAUAGUUGUCGAAACAUCAAAUAAAACCAGUGAUUGUUCCCCAUAAAAAUUUUGUUCUGUUAAUUUGUUUCCCAAUCAAUAAAUGCCACUUAAAGAUUAAGUUAAAGACACUUUUUGAUUUUCAACAAUUUCUGAUAAUUACUGUCAACAUUAUGGCCCUUGAUCACUUUUAAAAUCCUGUGGAUGCUCCGACCAAAGUUAUCAUCUGAUUUGAUAUUAUAUUCACUAAAACAGAGUUGAAGGUUAUGAGAUCUUAUUGAUUUUCAAUGAUUUUUGAUGAACUUAAACAGCUAAAUCCAUGAUAUUAAAUGUUUUGUAUAUUAAACUUUAGCAUGAGCCAAACAAAUUCUAAUGAUUUUCUGUUAAUUACUUAAUGAGUUGUUACUCUUAAUCCGAUUUAUGUGCAUUAUAAAUGUUUCAUUAACGACAAAAAAAAAAUAUGCAACUGUCCAGUCGAUUUAGCUGCUGUGGGGGAUAUUUUUGUUGAGAGGCAACCUAUCCUUAAAUAUGGAUUAGUGUACUGCCAUGUGUUUUAUUAUUGUUGAUGAAUAUGUUUAAUGAUGUUGCCUUAAUUAGGUUCCAUAUUAAAUUGGUUAAGUUUGAUGAUCAACUGUUCCAUGUAAAUUUUGGGUUAAACAUGAUUUUGUACCUUUAGGCAUAGUUAAUGUCAUAAUUUUAAUUUCUUAAAAAAUCCUUUUAUUAAGAAACUGUUAUUGUAUCUUGUUAAGUUAUUAAAUAUUCAUAAAUUU